rnacentral:rRNA from 1 species
GGAUGAACGCUGGCGGCGUGCCUAAUACAUGCAAGUCGAGCGAAUGGAUUNAGAGCUUGCUCUNANGAAGUUAGCGGCGGACGGGUGAGUAACACGUGGGUAACCUGCCCAUAAGACUGGGAUAACUCCGGGAAACCGGGGCUAAUACCGGAUAACAUUUUGAACUGCAUGGUUCGAAAUUGAAAGGCGGCUUCGGCUGUCACUUAUGGAUGGACCCGCGUCGCAUUAGCUAGUUGGUGAGGUAACGGCUCACCAAGGCAACGAUGCGUAGCCGACCUGAGAGGGUGAUCGGCCACACUGGGACUGAGACACGGCCCAGACUCCUACGGGAGGCAGCAGUAGGGAAUCUUCCGCAAUGGACGAAAGUCUGACGGAGCAACGCCGCGUGAGUGAUGAAGGCUUUCGGGUCGUAAAACUCUGUUGUUAGGGAAGAACAAGUGCUAGUUGAAUAAGCUGGCACCUGA